UAUAUGUUUCUCUAAAAAUUCUAUCAAUGUGGCUUACUGGUUGAUUGUUUUCUUCCAUCGUCACUCCUAAGUCCUUUUCCUUUUUAACUUUCUCCAGUUCUACUCCAUCUCCCAUCUUAUACAGCCGGUUCCUGAAUUACUUCUUUUUGGUCCAUUAGGCAGCCAACCAAGCAAUUUGUGUCCUGUGCCGUUCCAGAAUGCCUUUUUCCAUCUGUUUUUUGUCCGCUAGUAGACCAAAGAUUGUAACUUUGGUCGAGGGGUUUUGCAAAACAUUGGUCAAGUGUCCGGGCAACCAAAGCUACCGCCUUGUAUUUUAAAUUUCCAAAUGUAAAAAGAAGCUAACUGUAAUUAAAUUUAUUUCAGUCUAUUUACCAUGUCAAAUUUUUUUGAUGGUACAACAAAGCUUUUCUUAUGCUAUAUUGAGCAUAUGUUUUAAUUUUAGAAGUCUACUGUAGUCGCCUUGUGAGUUCACGCCAAACAUCAACAACAGCCUAAUCGACUCGUCACAUCUCUACUUCACUGACUAAAUUUGGUACCAUGGCUGCAUUAGAAGAAAUCAUAGAUGAAGAAAUGUAUGAAAUGGAAGAAUUGCGACGAGUGAGGAUUCCACGCAUAUAUAAGAUCUUAUGGUGUAUAAUGUAGGUAUUGCAAAGUACAAAUAGUAUGUAAGAAUGAAUAAACUUAACCAUCUACU
rnacentral:lncRNA from 1 species